AAAUUGAAGAGUUUGAUCAUGGCUCAGAUUGAACGCUGGCGGCAGGCCUAACACAUGCAAGUCGAACGGUAACAGGAAGCAGCUUGCUGCUUCGCUGA
rnacentral:rRNA from 6 species